CACGUAGGGUGCGAGCGUUGUCCGGAAUUAUUGGGCGUAAAGAGCUCGUAGGCGGUGUGUCGCGUCGGCCCGUGAAAACCUGCAGCUUAACUGUGGGCUUGCGGUCGAUACGGGCAUCACUGGAGUUCGGCAGGGGAGACUGGAAUUCCUGGUGUAGCGGUGAAAUGCGCAGAUAUCAGGAGGAACACCGGUGGCGAAGGCGGGUCUCUGGGCCGAUAACUG
rnacentral:rRNA from 1 species